CUUAUCAAGAGUGGCGGAGGGAACGGCCCGAUGAAGCCACGGCAACCUGCCUUCCGGCAAGGUGCCAAUUCCGGCGGUCAGCGCAAGAUGAG
rnacentral:ncRNA from 2 species